GUCUUACGCCGCCGUGGACCGACGUUAUUUAUCAGGUGUGCUCAACGGUUGUAGUGAUGUGUCCUAUUUCACUUCUACAAAGACACCCCUGUCCCAGCCCAUGGAUUGGUAAAAAUAAACUGUCUAAACUUGGACCCUUGAUCAUAAAUACAUCAUAAAUGGGCAAAAGGAAUUACUCAUUGAGGAUCUAACGUUGUCCUACCAAGACGUUGGAAAUUUCAUAAUUUCUGGGGGGACUCAUUACUUGCCUUGAAGACUUCUUUGGUUUGGAAGGGAUCACAAACAAGUUUCUCCAUGUUACCUCCAGCCAGGAAGAUGGUGGUCACCACUCCCAUCAGCACCCAGGAGAAGAUGAUGCUAAAUCCAACGCCGCUAUGGAGAAGGACAGACAGGCCCUCAGAGCGUAUCAGAACUGACUUCCCAUGAGCUUGGUGUAAAAACACCUCUGCACAAGUGCUGAUAUAACUGGAUUGGACAAUUUGUUACAUCUUGAGAAUAUUGAGACCAACAUCAUCCAGGUUUAUCAGAUACAGUGACCAGAUGAGAAUGAAAUUCGGGACAGGUGAGUUGGGGGUGUGUGUGGUAAUGUGGCCCCUUUGGAUGUAGCCUCCAGUACAUUACAUUCAGUGUCAACAAGCAGCAACAAUAAA